AGAGCUCAAAUUUUGAAUCUGGUGUCUUCGGCGCCCGAAUUGUAAUCUAGAGAAGCGUUUUCCGCAUCGGACCGUGCACAAGUUCCCUGGAACGGGGCGUCAUAGAGGGUGAGAAUCCCGUACGUGGCACGGACUCCCGGUGCUCUGCGAUACGCUCUCAACGAGUCGAGUUGUUUGGGAAUGCAGCUCAAAAUGGGUGGUAAAUUCCAUCUAAAGCUAAAUAUUGGCGAGAGACCGAUAGCGAA
rnacentral:rRNA from 1 species